rnacentral:lncRNA from 1 species
GGCCGUGUCUUUGUUCCAUCGCACGCACGCUCCAAUCCCAUCCUGUAUCCCACCGGACGCACGGUGCUCGACCUCAACAUUUCAGUCCCCGCCUCUCUCUCUCUCUCUCUCUCUCUCUCUCUCUCUUCCCCCUGGUGACCGGCGACCGCGAGCUUCUCCCCGGUGUCACGCCUGCGCCCCACCGCCUCUCUAUGCCCGCGCCGAGCUCCUUGCUGCCCCCAUCCAUGCCGGCCAUGGCGGAUCCGUCGAAGAUUGGGGACUGCUGCCCCAACCAUAUGCCAGGUGUUCAUCGAUCCUUUGGCCGUUCACCGGCGACGACCACCCACCAGGUUCGUCCGCUCUUGCCUUUUCCUUCCCCUUCCUGCUGUGCGAAACCGAGCUCUCCAACCCUAACGUAAGAUAUUUGCUAUCUACCUCAGAUUUGUGCCGUAUUUGCAGUGGCGGCAAGCCGACCAACCAUGGCGUCCAGGAGGUUGGGGCGGCAUGGAUAUGCUCCCCCUGGAUGCUAGGGGCUGGCCCAGGUGGUGGCUAGCCGGACCAUCCAGCCCGUGGUGGCCAGCCUACCUCGCGGCCGUAAUCGAAGGCGCCACGGCUGUAGCGAGGAGGUGGGCUCUCGAUCGCCGAGAUGGAGGAGCGCAAGGAUGUCAGAAUCCUCGCCAUGGACAUCUAGUUCCCUCCCACAUGUGUCCGGUAGGUGAGACCCUCGUCCCCCACUUCGAUUAGAUACGUUCCCCACCAUGUUGUCUCAUGUGAUGUGGUAGUGCUCCAUAUGUGAGACUCUUGGCACCCGACUACCCGAUUGUGGAGAUUAGUAGCUACUGUGCUGUGAGGAUUUUUUAGGCCAGUUUGGCAGGUGAAAUUUCGGGUUUAGAAGGUGAUCGAAAUCGCAUCAGUUGGAAAAGUGCAAAUUACCGCUGCUGUUUUCACAU